AAAUUGAAGAGUUUGAUCAUGGCUCAGAUUGAACGCUGGCGGCAGGCCUAACACAUGCAAGUCGAGCGGUAGCACAGAGAGCUUGCUCUCGGGUGACGAGCGGCGGACGGGUGAGUAAUGUCUGGGAAACUGCCUGAUGGAGGGGGAUAACUACUGGAAACGGUAGCUAAUACCGCAUAACGUCGCAAGACCAAAGUGGGGGACCUUCGGGCCUCAUGCCAUCAGAUGUGCCCAGAUGGGAUUAGCUAGUAGGUGGGGUAAUGGCUCACCUAGGCGACGAUCCCUAGCUGGUCUGAGAGGAUGACCAGCCACACUGGAACUGAGACACGGUCCAGACUCCUACGGGAGGCAGCAGUGGGGAAUAUUGCACAAUGGGCGCAAGCCUGAUGCAGCCAUGCCGCGUGUAUGAAGAAGGCCUUCGGGUUGUAAAGUACUUUCAGCGAGGAGGAAGGCGUUAAGGUUAAUAACCUUGGCGAUUGACGUUACUCGCAGAAGAAGCACCGGCUAACUCCGUGCCAGCAGCCGCGGUAAUACGGAGGGUGCAAGCGUUAAUCGGAAUUACUGGGCGUAAAGCGCACGCAGGCGGUCUGUCAAGUCGGAU
rnacentral:rRNA from 1 species